UCUUGAUGAUGAUAUAUCUAUACCUUUUGAUUGGUUCUAUGUUUGCUUAGAGUAAGUUGCUAACUUAGAUUGGAUAAUGAACUUAGAACCUGAGCUAAAACUUGAAAGUAGGGAUACACCUAGCGCUUUUGGCAAACAAACCCCUCAGCCAAAAAGCCUUGCAUGUCUAGAAGUGGUGGAGUAGCUUCCUCCCUAUCGGUUAAGUCUUGUUGAGCUUAGUAGC
rnacentral:lncRNA from 1 species